AAAAGAAUUACAAUUGCCUUGGAUAAGCAACAAGUCAUCUGUCCAUGAACUGAGUAUGGUUACACGAUCAGCAGAGAGAAGAAUUUCUUAAAUUAUAAAGUGUCCUGGGAACAGAGCUAUUGUUACUGCCUAAUAGAGUGGAGAGAAAACUCUUCUUGUCUGUGGAGCUGUUUCUUUUGUGCUUUCAUAUUGAAGUGAAGCUUCACAAACCAGCAUAAGAGGAUUUCCCUUCAAGAUGUCAAAAAACUGAGGCAUCCUGAUCCUC
rnacentral:lncRNA from 1 species